rnacentral:rRNA from 1 species
CGCGUAGGCGGUCUCUUAAGUCAGAUGUGAAAGCCCGGGGCUUAACCUCGGAAGUGCAUUUGAAACUAAGGGACUUGAGUAUGGGAGAGGGAAGUGGAAUUCCUGGUGUAGCGGUGAAAUGCGUAGAUAUCAGGAGGAACACCGGUGGCGAAGGCGACUUCCGGGACCAAUACUGACGCUGAGGCGCGAAGGCGUGGGGAGCAAACAGGAUUAGAUACCCUGGUAGUCC